rnacentral:rRNA from 1 species
UUAAAUUGAAGAGUUUGAUCAUGGCUCAGAUUGAACGCUGGCGGCAGGCCUAACACAUGCAAGUCGAACGGUAGCACAGAGAGCUUACUCUCGG